UUGAGGCAAGUCUGGUGCCAGCAGCCGCGGUAAUUCCAGCUCCAAUAGCGUAUAUUAAAGUUGUUGCAGUUAAAAAGCUCGUAGUUGAAUUUCGGGAUUCACCCAUUGGUCGGGCUUCACGGUCCGUACUGGUGUGAUGGGUUCUUACCUUCUGAAUAACCGGCAUGCCAUUAAUUUGGUGCGCCGGGGAAGCAGAACUAUUACCUUGAAAAAAUUAGAGUGCUUAAAGCAGGCAAGUGCCUGAAUAGGUUAGCAUGGAAUAAUAAAAUAGGACGGCAUGGUUCUAUUUUGUUGGUUUCUAGGAUCACCGUAAUGAUUAAUAGGGAUAGUUGGGGGCAUUAGUAUUCAAUUGUCAGAGGUGAAAUUCUUGGAUUUAUUGAAGACUAACUUCUGCGAAAGCAUUUGCCAAGGAUGUUUUCAUUAAUCAAGAACGAAAGUUAGGGGAUCGAAGACGAUCAGAUACCGUCGUAGUCUUAACCAUAAACUAUGCCGACUAGGGAUCGGACGAUGUUAAUUUUUUAAUGACUCG
rnacentral:rRNA from 1 species